ACCCGGCCGCUCCAGUCCAGUCGUGCAGGCGGCGCGCUCUUUCUCGCUCCGCUCAAGUCCGGGAACCGGUUCCCGGGCUCCCAGCCUCUCGGCAGCGCCCAGGGACCUGGGCCACAGUCCGCGAACGGAAGCCGGCGGCGAGGAGGAUUCUGGGAGUUGGAGGCCGAGGCUGCUACCUGCGCAGGCGCAAACCUGCAGCUGGGGUGAGGGCUGUAAGUGGCGCGAUUCGCGGCAGCGCCCCGAUGGAACCUCCUGGUCCUGUGACGGUACACAGGGACAAGAGAAGAUGAUGAUGAUGGGACCAAAGGAAGAGGAACAGUCUUGUGAGUAUGAGACCAGGCUACCUGGGAACCACUCUACCAGUCAAGAGAUCUUCCGCCAACGCUUCAGGCAUCUCCGCUACCAGGAGACUCCUGGUCCCCGGGAGGCCUUGAGCCAACUACGAGUACUCUGCUGUGAGUGGCUGAGGCCAGAGAAACACACGAAGGAGCAGAUCCUGGAGUUCCUGGUGCUGGAACAAUUCUUGACCAUCCUGCCUGAGGAGCUCCAAUCCUGGGUGCGGGGACAUCACCCUAAGAGUGGAGAGGAGGCUGUGACUGUGCUGGAGGAUUUAGAGAAAGGACUUGAACCAGAGCCGCAGGUGGGAAGGGGGAUUUGGUCUGUUAUGGGAGCCAGAUUGAUGACCUUCAGGCUGGACCGAGGGGCAGCUGUAGGGGGAGGUGCCAAGUUCAAACCUCUCUUGGGCCAGGUAGAGCAGUUAGUAUGUGUUUCUGUGUCUGUCUUUUCUGCCCUCGAGCCCUGAAUGAGAAAGAGACUCUAGCUCCUCUUCUUCCCUCGUGCUGACUCUGAGGAGGCUCUCUAAAGUCUCCUUGGAAGCUUUGGUCCAAGGAGGGUCACAUCUGCAAGUGUCCAGGCAGGGGACAGAAACCACACUAGUAAUUUGAAGAAAAUUUAAACUGAGUGGUGCCUGAUCACCUCCAGGUCCCAGGCCCUGCACAUGGACCUGCACAGGAAGAGCCAUGGGAGAAGAAGGAGUCUCUGGGAGCAGCCCAGGAAGCACUGAGCAUCCAGCUCCAGCCUAAGGAGACCCAGCCUUUCCCAAAGAGUGAACAGGUAUAUUUACAUUUUCUGUCAGUUGUUACAGAAGAUGGCCCAGAGCCCAAGGACAAAGGAUCAUUGCCACAACCACCCAUUACUGAAGUGGAAUCACAGGUGUUCUCAGAAAAACUUGCUACUGACACCUCCACAUUUGAAGCUACCUCUGAGGGUACCUUAGAACUGCAGCAGAGAAAUCCCAAAGCGGAGAGACUGAGGUGGUCCCCUGCCCAGGAGAAAAGUUUCAGGCAGAUGGUUGUCAUCCAUAAGGAAAUUCCCACAGGGAAGAAAGACCAUGAAUGUAGUGAAUGUGGUAAAACCUUCAUUUAUAACUCACAUCUUGUUGUCCACCAGAGAGUCCAUUCUGGAGAGAAACCCUAUAAGUGUAGUGACUGUGGGAAAACUUUCAAACAGAGCUCAAACCUCGGUCAGCAUCAGAGAAUUCAUACAGGAGAGAAACCCUUCGAAUGUAAUGAAUGUGGGAAGGCCUUCAGAUGGGGUGCUCAUCUUGUUCAGCAUCAGAGGAUUCACUCAGGAGAGAAGCCCUAUGAGUGUAAUGAGUGUGGGAAGGCCUUUAGUCAAAGCUCAUAUCUAAGUCAGCAUCGGAGAAUUCACAGUGGAGAGAAACCUUUUAUAUGUAAAGAAUGUGGGAAAGCUUAUGGAUGGUGCUCAGAGCUCAUUAGACAUCGGAGAGUUCAUGCCAGAAAAGAGCCUUCCCAUUGAAUUGAAGGGGAGAACGUCUCCAGACAGAAUUCUACAUUGGUCUAAUCUACUUUAGGACUGGAUCCCAUAAAAGUUAUAAGUUCCUUAAG
rnacentral:sRNA from 1 species